UCUUGAAACUUGGCCAUUGAGAUGUUGAGCACUCAAAAAAAUGUAACAAAUUCUUAGGGAUCUUCCUGACUUCUAAAUAAUUGCUUUGGAUGUCCUUGCUUCUUUGGGAGCGCUAUCAAGGAAUUUUCUUGGAGUUACAGCGAUGGCUGAACUAAUGUUCGGACAUUGAUAUUGCUUUGUAAAAGUUGCUUCCGAAUAUAUUGUAAUCAGAUAGAUAAUUGGGCCUCUCUAGCUGCGAUGCAUGAGUUUCAUCCAAUGUUCAGUGACUUAAAAUGUUCAUAAAAGCUGGUACAAAAAUGUCGAGGAAUUAAAACAUGAAACAUCAUCUUUUGAAAGGGCACAAAAAGUUUUUCCUGCCACUGUUAAGAAAUAAAUAUCUUUCUUGCUAAUCCAGCAUCUGCUGCUUUGUGGGGUGGAACUUCAAACUCUGUUCAUAAUUUUGAUACAGCAAUGGUCAAAUUAUCAAUUGAAAUAUACACUUCCAUUUAUCUUGUUACCACAUUUAAUUUUAGGUUUUUGAUGACUGUGAUUGUUGGAAUAUUAAACUAGGGUAUCUUCCCUGCGUAUUUUUGUCUCCUUCUGCAGUGAUGGGUCCCUAUCCAUUUGUGCUCCAAUUUACUGGGUCAUUUGCCCAUUGGACUACAAUGACAAUGUCUUCUUAUUCUCUAUAAGCAGAACAGGCAUCUUUACUUCACUCUUUAUUUUUUUUAUGCAGAGAUAGAAUCUGUAUUGAUCAACGUAUUGGAAAAGAAGGUAACUCUCACUUGUAGGUAUCCUGGUAUGAAAGUAACCACAGGACAAGUCGCCGCUGUGUACAGAAAUCCUCUAGGCAAAAUGGCAACGAUCAAGCGAAUUUUUCGUUCUUACUCCCGUUGAUGACAUGUAAAUGUUUCGACAAAGCACACAAUUCUGUCAUCAAAAGAUUGUGACCGCGUGAAUUAGCCAUGUAUAUAAUUGCAAUAUUGCGUUGAGAAACUGAAAUAGAAUAUCAGAUACUUCUUACGAGUAUGCUUGAAUUUGUAAGGGAAACAGAUAAGAAAGGCAGAUCAUUUUGAAGAACAUCAAAAUUCUGAGUUUUUGUUAGAUAUGUGCAGAGCUUGUUUCCCCAUUUGAAGGAAAAGAGUACCUUCCUAGGAGGGAGUUAAACAAUUAGUUAACGUGAAUGUAUAAUCUUCUAUUGUCACCUUCUCUAUCUUCAGGGAAGUGAAGUCAGGGCAGGCUAACGUGAAGGUGGCUUAAAUUUUGCGUAACAUAAACCUUUGCAAACAAGAAAGAUGCUUCGUAUAUUGUUUCAUGGAGUAAAACGAAGCAUGGGACAAGAGGGAAAGAUACGAUUCCUCUUGUACUUGUGAGGUAGAUAAACAAAGCACAAAAGUGAAGUUAGGGAUAACAAGCCAGGCGUGCCAAACAAAACCCCCUUCCUCAGCUCAAGUAGAAUCAGAUUCCAAAAUGAAAGCAAAUAAUUCCCAGCAGACAAUCCAAAAGCCGAAACAACAGUUGGACUAUUAUUCUUCAAAUUCUCAAAAUCAAACAUUCCUUGUUUUCUCUGGAUGUUCCGAGCCAUCAGAUCAACCCAUCAUUGAUUUCGUACCAUGUCUUUUAGCAACUACAUACCUGCAAAGACUUGCUGCAUGGUGCUAAGAAUCAACCUUGAUUGUAAUGCUUGUUGCAAAAAAGCUAGGAGGAUCAUUCUCAACAUGAAAGAGGUAGAGACACACAUGAUCGAGAAGCAGCAAUGCAGGAUUAGUGUGUGUGGAAUAUUUCGACCAUCUGAUGUGGCCAUAAAGCUAAGGAAAAAGAUGAACCGUAGAGUUGAAAUAUUGGAAAUUCAGGAAUUCGGCGGCGGCAAUGAGCAGGAAGAACCGUCGGCAAACGUGGAUGGCUAACAUAUGCUCCUACUCCUUGUGAUGUUGCUAUACAAAAUUCCUCGUGCCAUCAUAAUACGCGUGACCAAACCACACGUCUUGCACUUGGCAUCUGGAGUGUUAUCAUUAAAGCAUAGCCAGCGUAGAUACUGCUGAAAUGGAAAGGAAACUCAAAAUUCAAGCAGAGAUGUGGUAGAUUGAAGAAAAAAGGAGUAUGAUGUGUGUAGAGAUGUAAAAAUGUAAUUCACACAAUUUUUAGUAUGUACUUAGAAAAAGCAUGGGUAGCGAAAACUGCAAAACACUUCAUUUGUAUUUAAUUCGUAAAAAACAGAAAUUAAUCGCCUUCUAGUUCA